AUAAAAUAACAACAUUUAGCAAAGCCCGCCACGGUCUGCUUCAGAUGUGUUCAUGAUGCGUCUCUAAAGCCAUGUGUGUUUGCUGUGUCCAAAAGGGGAAGUGCACUUGGGAGGCCAGGAGCAUUUUUACAUGGAGACUCAAAGCGUACGAGUGAUCCCCAAGGGAGAGGACAUGGAGAUGGACAUAUAUGUGUCCAGCCAGGACGCAGCGUUUACCCAGGAAAUGGUGGCUCGAACCUUGGGCAUCCCAAAGAACAGGAUCACCUGCCACGUGAAAAGGGUUGGUGGAGCCUUCGGAGGGAAAACGAGCAAACCUGGGCUCCUGGCAUCGGUGGCAGCUGUGGCCGCACAGAAGUGAGUGGAUC
rnacentral:lncRNA from 1 species